CCCCACCCCACUCUGCUCCAUUUACUCUUGGCCAUACAAGCCCUGCUCCCCCACUGCUCCCCCCUCUACUUUCAGAGGAGGAAAUUGCUGAACAAUGUGGCAGAUCAGAGAAUGGGCACAGUGCCUGGAGCCCAAGGCCAGGACAGGUCUUCAGUAGGCCUUGGACUCUGACCUCUGGCUGCCCUGCUCCUGGGCAGACUCAUGUUCAGGCCUCUUCAUUUCUAGGAGACCUCCCUUGGGGAACAUGUCCUCUCCCUUCAUUUUGUCUCUUCUCCAGGGUAGAGCAGCCACCAGUGUCUUCCUUCACUUGUGUCAAGGUCAAAUUCCCUCUGGACCAAGCCAGCCCUCUCAAAAGGCUCUCAGGCUCUCAGAGGGACAGAUGUCUUGGAGCUUUCAUCCUGAAGAGCCUGAACAAACAGCCAAUGAUAGGUGUGGAGCUGCUUGGCCUGGACCAGCCAGCCUUGGAUAGAGCAGAUUGUGACAUCCAAGGUGGAUACAUUGCCUAGCCCAUUGUGGAGUAUUCCUGGACGCCUAUCCAUGCCAGAAACACAUAGUGAGUAGCUGUUUGCUGAACUUUAACUGAAUGGGUGAUUUGAGGUGACCUCUGUGGUCUAAGACUCUCUGUCUCUGUCUCUGUCUUUCUCUGUCUCUCUCCUCUCUCGUUUCUCCCGUUCUCUCCCUCUCCUCUCCCUUCUUUCCUUCCUCUCUCUUCUCUUUCUCUCCCUCCUCCUCUCUUCCCUCUCUCUCUCUCUCCCUCUCUCCUCUACCUUUGCUUCUUUCUUCUGUCUGCCUUUGAGACAGGGUCUCACAGUGUUGCCCUGGCUGGCCUGGAGCUGUGUACACCAAGCUGGACUUCACCUCACAGAGAUCCACCUGGCCUGGCCUCCUAGGU
rnacentral:lncRNA from 1 species